CAAGUACUCCUUCCGUUCGGAAUUACUUGUCACGAAAAUGGAUGUAUCUAGAACAAAAAUACGUCUAGAUACAUCUAUUUCUGCGACAAGUAAUUCCGAACGGAGGAAGUAUAAA
rnacentral:pre_miRNA from 1 species